rnacentral:lncRNA from 1 species
GGGCAUUGCCUGAGAGCAAGGAAGCAGUCUGAAGUCACUGGUUUCUAAUCAAUCUUUCUAUUGAAAGGUAUGGUCUACCAUAACUGGCUUUCAGUAGAGAUGCACCCAAAUGAAAACUGAUCCAGCAUCAGGAACUUCCCUUUCAGCAGCGGAGAAAGAUUACCCAGAUGAUACCUUGGGGAACUUUUUCCUUCUGUAUAUCCUGAGCAGAAAGAAAAUGUUUAAACUAAGAAGACUACUAGCA